AUUGAACGCUGGCGGCAUGCCUAACACAUGCAAGUCGAGCGAGCGGCGGACGGGUGAGUAAUGUCUGGGAAACUGCCUGAUGGCGGGGGAUAACUACUGGAAACGGUAGCUAAUCCCGCAUACCAUCAGAUGUGCCCAGAUGGUCUUAGCUAGUAGGUGGGGUAACGGAUCACCUAGUCGACGAUCCCUAGCUGGUCUGAGAGGAUGACCAGCCACACUGGAACUGAGACACGGUCCAGACGCCUACGGGAGGCAGCAGUGGGGAAUAUUGCACAAUGGGCGCAAGCCUGAUGCAGCCAUGCCGCGUGUGUGAAGAAGGUUUUCGGGUUGUAAAGCACUGUCAGCGGGGAGGCGGUACCCGCAGAAGAAGCACCGGCUAACUCCGUGCCAGCAGCCGCGGUAAUUC
rnacentral:rRNA from 1 species